rnacentral:rRNA from 1 species
GACGAACGCUGGCGGCGCGCCUAACACAUGCAAGUCGAGCGAAGAAAUCUUAACCGAUCUCUUCGGAGUGAAGAAAAAGUGGAUUAGCGGCGGACGGGUGAGGAACACGUGAGAAACCUGCCUUUCACAAGGGGAUAGCCUCGGGAAACCGGGAUUAAUAGCCUAUGACUCAUUUCCUUCGCAUGGAAGAAGUGUGAAAACUCCGGUGGUGAAAGAUGGUCUCGCGCCUGAUUAGCUAGUUGGUGGGGUAACGGCCCACCAAGGCGAUGAUCAGUAACCGGCCUGAGAGGGUGAACGGUCACAUUGGAACUGAGACACGGCCCAAACUCCUACGGGAGGCAGCAGUGGGGAAUAUUGCACAAUGGAGGAAACUCUGAUGCAGCGACGCCGCGUGAGCGAUGAAGGCUUUCGAGUCGUAAAGCUCUGUCCGAUGGGAAGAUAAUGACGGUACCAAAGGAGGAAGCCCCGGCUAACUACGUG